rnacentral:rRNA from 1 species
CUGAAAUUGACUUGGAAUGGUCGUACCGUAGAGGGUGAUAGUCCCGUAAGUAUGUAUGAUUGAAGAUUUUUUCUUGUUUCCUGAGUAGGAUGCAUUGGAUAUUGCGUUUGAAUUUGGGUGGCAUCAACACCUAAUCCUAAAUACAUCUCAAGACCGAUAGCGUAUUUAGUACCUUGAGGGAAUGCUGAAAAGAACCCCUAUUGGGGGGUGAAAAGAACUUGAAACCAGAUAGUGAUAGCCCGAUAUGGCCUUUAAGGAAUGAUGUCAUCGUGAAAGAGGCAGUGGUGACGCUGUAGUAUGAUUGAUGGUGGACUAGGGUUGUAUCGUCCGUCUUGUAACACGGGCCAGGG